rnacentral:tRNA from 1 species
CGGGGUGUAGCGCAGCCUGGUAGCGCGUCUGCUUUGGGAGCAGGAUGUCGGAGGUUCAAAUCCUCUCGCCCCGACCA